GCUGUAGUUUGACAAAGCUCCAAGGGUGUUUCCAUCAUGACACGUCGCUCCUGUUCUGCCAGGAAAAUGGAGCCACAGAGAGGUUAAGUGUCUUUCUUAAGAUCACACAGCAAGGAUUUGAACGAAUGCUGUCUUCUGCUGAACUUGUUGCUUCGUCCACCAUUCCAUGUAGACUUUCCUGGGCCACUGGUGUUGCUGAUCAGAAGCCAGAGUUAUCUAUUCUGAGCUUUUACCAGCACCAGAUACCAAACCACAGAUCCAGAAAGCCCAGAAGAUAACAAGCAGGAUAAAUCCCCUCCACCAAAAAAAAACUAUACCUAAGCAUAUUACAUUCUACUGCAGAAAAUCAAGGACAAAGAGAAAAUCUUGAAAGAACAGAGAAGAAAACAACUUACCAACAGAAGAGUGAGAAUAAGAAUUAUAUCAAACUGUUCUUCAGAAACCAAACAAGAAAGAAGAGAGUGGAGUGAAAUAAAGUAUCAGGGAAAAAAAGGACCACCAACCUAGAAUUUUGUGUACCCAAAAUCAUCCUUCAAAAGUAAAGGCGAAAUAAAGACUUUCUCAGACAAACAAAAAUUGAGGAAUUUGUUGCCAGUAGACCUGCGUUGCAAGGAAUGUUAAAAGUUCUUCAGAGAGAAGGAAAAUGACAUAUGUCAGAAAACCAGACCUACAUAAAGAAGAGCACUACAGAAGGAAU